GCACAACGCGAAGAACCUUACCUAGCUUUGACAUGUACCUGCAAGCUCAUGAAAGUGAGUCGCCUUCGAGGGUGGUACACAGGUGCUGCAUGGCUGUCGUCAGCUCGUGUCGUGAGAUGUUAGGUUAAGUCCCGCAACGAGCGCAACCCCUACGGCUAGUUACUCGUGUCUGGCCGGACUGCCUUUAACGGAGGAAGGUGGGGAUGAUGUCAAGUCAGCAUGGCCCUUACGGCUAGGGCGACACACACGCUACAAUGGUAGUGACAAUGCGCAGCUACCUCGCAAGAGGACGCGAAUCGCUUAAACACUAUCCCAGUUCAGAUCGGGGGCUGCAACUCGCCCCCCGUGAAGGUGGAGUUGCUAGUAACCGCGUAUCAGCCAUGGCGCGGUGAAUACGUACCCGGGUCUUGUACACACCG
rnacentral:rRNA from 1 species